rnacentral:lncRNA from 1 species
CGACUAGGCCCUAUUUCGGGAUGUUACAUUUCUAGAAUCGCUCAUUCUCUUUAGCUUCUCCCUAUUGAUAUUCCCUCACCUUUUUACCAUAGAAAAGAGCUUGCAUGGGAAACUAUGUCGUUGAGUUAAAAGUAAACUACUAAAAUAACCUCUAUUUAAUUCUCUUUCAUUGGAAAAAUAUUGAUAUUUAGUUCUCCCUACUAGACAUCAAAACAUGGGUGCCCCAAUUGUCAAAGAAUGGCAAGAACCCAAAGUAGAAACAAGGGACUAUAAAAUGUAAAAAAGCAAGAGCAAGAAAAAACAAAGGAUGAAAAAUUAUACUUUUCUC